rnacentral:rRNA from 1 species
UAAUACCUGAUAAGCCCACGGGGUCUUCGGACCUUGCGGGAAAAGGGGGGGACCUUCGGGCCUUCUGUCGUCGGAUGAGUCCGCGUACCAUUAGCUAGUUGGUGGGGUAAAGGCCUACCAAGGCGACGAUGGUUAGCUGGUCUGAGAGGAUGAUCAGCCACACUGGAACUGAGACACGGUCCAGACUCCUACGGGAGGCAGCAGUGGGGAAUUUUGCGCAAUGGGGGAAACCCUGACGCAGCAACGCCGCGUGAGUGAUGAAGGCCUUCGGGUCGUAAAGCUCUGUCAGAGGGAAAGAAGUGUGCUAUGGCUAAUAUCCAUGGCACUUGACGGUACCCUCAAAGGAAGCACCGGCUAACUCCGUGCCAGCAGCCGCGGUAAUACGGAGGGUGCGAGCGUUGUUCGGAAUUAUUGGGCGUAAAGCGCGUGUAGGCGGUUUUUUAAGUCUGAUGUGAAAGCCCUGGGCUCAACCUGGGAAGUGCAUUGGAAACUGGAAGACUUGAGUACGGGAGAGGGCAGUGGAAUUCCUAGUGUAGGAGUGAAAUCCGUAGAUAUUAGGAGGAACACCGGUGGCGAAGGCGGCUGCCUGGACCGAUACUGACGCUGAGACGCGAAAGCGUGGGGAGCAAACAGGAUUAGAUACCCUGGUAGUCCACGCCGUAAACGAUGAGUACUAGGUGUCGCGGGUA